GUGCUCACAUUGGCAGCACAUACGCUAAAACCGGAAUGAUACAGAGAAGAUCAGCAGCGUCCCUGCGCAAGGAUAACACGCAGAUUCAUGACGCAGAAACAUGUCUC